rnacentral:lncRNA from 1 species
GCCCCAUAAAAUGCCCCUGUCCCCUCCCUGCGACAGUGUAGUCACAGGCAAGCUCCUGCCCCGGAACCGCAGCUCCUGGAAUGCCAGCGAGGAGAGUCAUGCUUCCAGGGAGAGCAGUCGCUGUCUCCAGAGUCUUAUUUUGAAAUGCAAAUACCCUGGCGAGGGUAAUAAAUACCCUGCCAUGUGACAAGAUAAAUAGGGCAGCCCCUUGCUGUGUCCGUGGGAUAGGCUGGAUGAUGCUGCCAUGACAG